rnacentral:rRNA from 1 species
UGAAGGAGGAACGCUCACCCCCACCUCUGUCGGCUCACCCCGACCAUCGGAUCAGAUCCGAUCCAGAUCAGAAACCACCAACGCAAGCAACCCCCGGCCCCGGGCGCUCUCCGCCCUUUUCUUCGCGGCCGGGGCCCGCCGCCCGCCCGCGCGCGUCACCCCCGCACCAACUCCCCACCGCGCCGGCGCCCCACUCCCACCCCCCGCCCCUUUCCCAAUCCCCUUUUCCUCGUCGACAAGCCUCGCCUAAAGCCUCCGGCAGCAGCUGAACCUUAUCGGCGCCGCGAACCUUAUACCGGCCGGACCGGGACCUGAUUCGGCAGCAGCAGGCGGCGGCAGUACCACUCCACCCGCACGCGCGCGCAUGGCCGAUCGGGGCGGGAGGUGUUAACUGGGCGGCACGGAGAUGAGGGAGCUGGCGGGAAGGCCCGGGACGUGGGGCGGGCUCUGGCUGCGGCUCGGCCAGGCCGCGCUCGCCGCCGCCUCCAUCGCCGUCAUGGCCUCCGCCAACGGCUUCGCCGGCUACACCGCCUUCUGCUAUCUGAUUGCGUCGAUGGGAUUGCAAGCGCUGUGGAGCUUGGGACUUGCAUGUCUUGAUGGAUACGCCCUUAAAGUCAAAAGAGAUCUCAACAAUGCUGUUUUAGUGAGCUUAUUUGUCGUCGGAGACUGGGUUACUGCGAUUCUCUCGUUUGCUGCAUCGUGCUCAGCUGCUGGUGUAAUAGUUCUUUUUGAGAAGGACAUUUCUUUCUGCAGAAGAUAUUACGAACUGCCUUGUGGAAGAUAUCAACUCGCGACGGCAUUUGCUUUUCUGUCCUGGGCGCUAAGUGCUACAUCAGCGGUCAUCAUGUUUUGGCUCCUGGCAUCCUUCUGAUUUUGUGUAUAGCCCUCUUGUGUAAGUUCUGUUUAUAGUGAGGUUUCCGCUCAUCAUAGGAAUUAUAUAGGAUGAUUUUUCAGAUAUGUAAGCAACAGAAACCACACUGCCAAAACAGAUGGAAAUGUUGGGACACCUGUAAACUCCAUGGAGCUAGCAUUUCCUAGGUAUUAUUACUCACUGGAAGCUUUCAAUGAUGCUAAAUCGGUUUCUCAAUAGUUUCUCCGGGUACCCUUCAUAUUCACUCUCUAAGAUGAUAGUACCAUAGUCUUAGCGUUGCAGCUGUACCACUUAUCUGACGAGUUACUUCCUUUGUAGUUUUGGGAUGAUGCGAUGUAAUAUUGCUGACGAAUUAGAAAGUUGUAGCCGAGUCGGGGAUGUGUGUCGCUGAAUGAACAUAAAGAAUCUUUCAGCCAUGCUGAAACCCUAUCAGCUCUGUUGUAAAGAAUCAAAGUAUAAGGGGGUUGGUCUGGACAGAGGUGUCAUUUCAGUAGUCCGACUGCUCUGAUUUUGUUGUAUAACUGUACCU